rnacentral:rRNA from 1 species
GACGAACGCUGGCGGCGUGCUUAACACAUGCAAGUCGAACGGAAAGGCCUGCUUUCCCUUGUGGUUUGCGGGUACUCGAGUGGCGAACGGGUGCGUAACACGUGUGUGUUUUGCCCUCAACUUGGGUCUAAGCCUGGGAAACUAGGUCUAAUUCCCGAUAGGACUGCAGGGUGGUGUCUGUGGUGGCAGACGUUUUUUUAGUGGUUGGGGAUGAGCCGGCGCAGUAUCAGGUUGUUGGAGGGGUAAUGGCCUACAAAGGCGGGGAGGGGUAGCCGGCCGGGGAUGGGGGACGGUCACAUUGAGACUGGGAUACGGCCCAGACUGCUACGGGAGGCAGCAGUUGGGAAGAUAGGGCAAUGAGCGGAAGCCUGAUGCAGCGACGCCGCGUGGAGGAUGACCGCCUUCGAGAUGUAAGCUCCUUUGGACGACGAGGAAGCCACCUGGUUAGAAGGGUGGUGACGGUAGUGGUAGAAGAAGCACCGGCUAACUACGUG